AUCAUCGGUGGUGGCAUCCAGACCAGUGAUGGACGUGAGCUGUUUUGCUGGUGAGCUGAUUGACAAGAAGCAGAGAUGGCCCAGGCAGCCACCUGGACCUCAGGUAUGUUCAGGAUGGUUCCAGCCAUCUGGUAAUGCCACUGUGAACACUAAGGGGAAGGGAGGGUCCAGUAUUUCCAAUAGAAAAGGCAAAGAGGACCAGCUUGAUUUCCCUGAGUUGUUAUAUCAUCAUGUACACAUGGAUCUUGUGAGUGGUCUCUCAUUGGAGUCGGGACACCAGUGCAACAGUGUGCCCGAGCAUGGACACAUAGUCAUCAGUUGGGGGAGAGGGAUGAACGGGACAUUUGGGAGUAUGAGAUACCUGUGCAGGUCAUACACAGGAGCAGUCUGUGCAACUCCCUACUCUAGGAUGUGCUGUUGAUUUAAUAUAGUGUGUAAUUUGCUCAUGUCUACUUAAUAUAGUGUGUAAUUUGCUCAUGUCUUGGUAGUGUGAUAUUCACCUAGAUCAACAUCGCUGCUGACGCAGAUCACAAUAGGACCAGUUACACUUGAGCUGCCUGCCUGAAGCCAUGAGGACACUGCUGCCACCUCUCCUUGUGGCACCCUGCUUGGAGUAUGAAAUAUUAUAAAUUUGCCUAUGAGAAACAAGUAGAGGCACAUUCCCGUGAGGAGUAGGAUAUUUGACCUGUGUGAAAUGAUGCACCUGAACUUCCUAUUUGAUGGCAGUUGCUACCAUACUUCCAAUAUUCCAAAUUUUUUUCAUGUGGAAAAUUAUAUAGAUGUUCACAUUCAACUGUAUUUUCCAAGGUCCCUCUUGUUGACCUUCACUAGGUUAAGCCUGCAUUUGUUCCUGACGUCAGAGUUUUCUGUUUGUACCACGUGGGGCAAGUUUGCUUCUCAUUGAUGCGAUGCACUGGGCACAGUCAGAAGCGCGGGAGGGUGAGAGAAUUCACC